UACAGAGGGUGCAAGCGUUAAUCGGAAUUACUGGGCGUAAAGCGCAUGUAGGUGGGAAGGAAAGUUUGAUGUGAAAUCCCUAGGCUUAACCUAGGAACUGCGUUGAAUACUAUCUUUCUAGAGUCGGACAGAGGGCCGUGGAAUUUCCGGUGUAGCAGUGAAAUGCGUAGAGAUCGGAAAGAACACCAGUGGCGAAGGCGGCGGCCUGGGUCCAGACUGACACUGAGGUGCGAAAGCGUGGGGAGCAAACAGG
rnacentral:rRNA from 1 species